GGAUAUGUAGUCAAUAAGUAAAUGUGAUUGCUGAAGGGGAUCAGACGUUGGACUUCAUUUCCCGAAAAGCCAAUGUCGAAACGCCAUGUUGUGUUCGACGAAAACUUGUAAAUAUUGUCACACAACGACAGUGCUCGAUCGAAAGCUUGUCUGCAGCCCAACGAGCUGAUCAGGGUAGCACGGUGGCUGUCUAACAGAUGGGCUGACCAUGCAGGAAGUCCCCAGAUGGAGGCGCUGUUGACAUGAAGACAGUCAGACCUCAGAAGUAGAAACUGAAGGGACGGACCGGGAUUCGAACCCGGAAGCUCAGCGUUCCGAGCUUCGGACAAUACCUUUAUGCCACCGUCAUGUUAGCGGUUGCGCGGCUGCAGAAGUGGCCUGAUGAUGAGACAACCCACGUAUAAGCGAAACAAAGACAAAGGGGGGUUCGAACCCCCAACCUCUGCGUCCGUAGGCAAAGACAAUACCGUUGCGCCACCUUCUCUUCUGUGAAUCGGCCGGCUCUUCUAUGGGUAGAAGAAGAUGACGCAACAGAACUAUUUCCCAAAAAAAAAAGAAAAAAGCUGGAACCCCCCCGGCCGUGGCUGGCUCAAAUCUGCUGGGCGUGAUGCAGUGACUGGAAGCUGAUGGGAAACGCCACUGUUAAAAAAAUUACAGUUCCUGGGUGCUCAUUAGUGAACUUAUUCUCAGACCCAUCAGAAUUAAACAGGA